rnacentral:rRNA from 1 species
GACGAACGCUGGCGGCGUGCUUAACACAUGCAAGUCGAACGGUAAGGCCCUUCGGGGUACACGAGUGGCGAACGGGUGAGUAACACGUGGGUGAUCUGCCCUGCACUUCGGGAUAAGCCUGGGAAACUGGGUCUAAUACCGGAUAGGACCACUGCCUGCAUGGGUGGUGGUGGAAAGCUUUUGCGGUGUGGGAUGGGCCCGCGGCCUAUCAGCUUGUUGGCGGGGUGAUGGCCUACCAAGGCGACGACGGGUAGCCGGCCUGAGAGGGUGACCGGCCACACUGGGACUGAGAUACGGCCCAGACUCCUACGGGAGGCAGCAGUGGGGAAUAUUGCACAAUGGGCGCAAGCCUGAUGCAGCGACGCCGCGUGAGGGAUGACGGCCUUCGGGUUGUAAACCUCUUUCAGCACCGACGAAGCGUAAGUGACGGUAGGUGCAGAAGAAGGACCGGCCAACUACGUGCCAGCAGCCGCCGUAA